AGUGAACGCUGGCGGUAGGCCUAACACAUGCAAGUCGAGCGGCAGCACAGAGGAGCUUGCUCCUUGGGUGGCGAGUGGCGGACGGGUGAGGAAUACAUCGGAAUCUACUCUGUCGUGGGGGAUAACGUAGGGAAACUUACGCUAAUACCGCAUACGACCUACGGGUGAAAGCAGGGGAUCUUCGGACCUUGCGCGAUUGAAUGAGCCGAUGUCGGAUUAGCUAGUUGGCGGGGUAAAGGCCCACCAAGGCGACGAUCCGUAGCGGGUCUGAGAGGAUGAUCAGCCACACUGGAACUGAGACACGGUCCAGACUCCUACGGGAGGCAGCAGUGGGGAAUAUUGGACAAUGGGCGCAAGCCUGAUCCAGCCAUACCGCGUGGGUGAAGAAGGCCUUCGGGUUGUAAAGCCCUUUUGUUGGGAAAGAAAUCCAUCUGGUUAAUACCCGGGUGGGAUGACGGUACCCAAAGAAUAAGCACCGGCUAACUUCGUGCCAGCCGCCGCAGUAA
rnacentral:rRNA from 1 species